CAUCACUUAUUCGUCCUCGGUGUCUGGUUCCUGGGCCGCCCGCCCCCAUCACUGCUGCGGAGGCCCGCCCCGCCCCUGCUCAGAGUCUGUGAGUGCAACAUGUAAACAGCUGAGCCAAGAAUUAAUGGAAAAAUAUGUAGAACUGAAGAAAAUGGAAGUACAUAACAAUGAGUACAGGGCAGAGAUUCAAAACCUGAAAGAACAGAUUUUCAGGCUGAACAAAGUUACAGUUCUGUACUAGAAGGAAUGAAGAUGGAAAUUUCCCAGCUAACUCGGGAGUUACAUCAGUGAGAUAUUGUGAUCGCUUCUGCCAAAAGUUCUUCCUCUGACAUGGAAAAGAGACUCAAAGCAGAGAUACAAAAGGCAGAAGAAAAGCAGUAGAGCAUGAGGUGAAACUUGAACAAAAACUCUUUGAAGUUUGUGAAGACUGAACUUACUAAAGAUAUCAUUUCCAUAGUAUUUAAUUCAGUCCGUUUUUAUUAGUCCCUUGUCUUGGGCUGAGGGUGUGCUGGCUAACAAGCUUCGUAGUGAGGAAUGGUGUGGAGGCGAGAGCAGAUACAGACAAUGAAAGAGGCCAUUUCUGUGGUGUGCAGUCAGAGUGCGAUGUGCUUGCUGUGACAAUAGGGCGCGAAUGGGCUGAGCAGCAAAGGAUGAAUGGGAAGUAGGGACCAGCUCCUGAAGGGCCCUGCCAGCUGCGCGGAGGAGCGUUAGUGUCAUCUUGAGGUCCAGAGAGAACAGGUUUAUUAAGCAGGAGUGAAAGGUCUCUGUGGUUGUCCUGUGGAGAAUAAGCACAGAGGCAGAGAGACCACUCAGAUGCUAUUACAGCAUUCAGGUGUUGGCCUGAUGGAGAAAGACAAGUGCUAAAUGAUUUCCCUUAUCUGUGGAGUAUAACAACAAAGUAAAACUGAAGGAACAAAACAGCAGCAGAC